rnacentral:rRNA from 1 species
UGGGGAAUAUUGGACAAUGGGGGGAACCCUGAUCAAGCCAUGCCGCGUGUGUGAAGAAGGCCUUAUGGUUGUAAAGCACUUUAAGCGAGGAGGAGGGUACUGGUAUUAAUACUACCAGGUACUGGACGUUACUCGCAGAAUAAGCACCGGCUAACUCUGUGCCAGCAGCCGCGGUAAUACAGAGGGUGCGAGCGUUAAUCGGAUUUACUGGGCGUAAAGCGUGCGUAGGCGGCUAAUUGAGUCGGAUGUGAAAUCCCCGAGCUUAACUUGGGAAUUGCAUUCGAUACUGGUUAGCUAGAGUGUGGGAGAGGAUGGUAGAAUUCCAGGUGUAGCGGUGAAAUGCGUAGAGAUCUGGAGGAAUACCGAUGGCGAAGGCAGCCAUCUGGCCUAACACUGACGCUGAGGUACGAAAGCAUGGGGAGCAAACAGG